AUGUAAAUGCCUACAACAUAGAUUUAAUGCAUCGAAUCCCAUUAGAACUUUCCAGUUAAGCAAUCUCGGGCUAGAGUAGCACUAUGAUGGAUGACCACCCGGGAAGUCCUAGUAUUUUACAUG
rnacentral:rRNA from 1 species